rnacentral:rRNA from 1 species
CCCUUGAGGCGUGGCUUCCGGAGCUAACGCGUUAAGUAGACCGCCUGGGGAGUACGGCCGCAAGGUUAAAACUCAAAUGAAUUGACGGGGGCCCGCACAAGCGGUGGAGCAUGUGGUUUAAUUCGAUGCAACGCGAAGAACCUUACCUGGUCUUGACAUCCACAGAACUUUCCAGAGAUGGAUUGGUGCCUUCGGGAACUGUGAGACAGGUGCUGCAUGGCUGUCGUCAGCUCGUGUUGUGAAAUGUUGGGUUAAGUCCCGCAACGAGCGCAACCCUUAUCCUUUGUUGCCAGCGAUUAGGUCGGGAACUCAAAGGAGACUGCCAGUGAUAAACUGGAGGAAGGUGGGGAUGACGUCAAGUCAUCAUGGCCCUUACGACCAGGGCUACACACGUGCUACAAUGGCGCAUACAAAGAGAAGCGACCUCGCGAGAGCAAGCGGACCUCAUAAAGUGCGUCGUAGUCCGGAUUGGAGUCUGCAACUCGACUCCAUGAAGUCGGAAUCGCUAGUAAUCGUGGAUCAGAAUGCCACGGUGAAUACGUUCCCGGGCCUUGUACACACCGCCCGUCACACCAUGGGAGUGGGUUGCAAAAGAAGUAGGU